CAGCAAGCCCCAGUGACCUUCCUGACUGCUUUCCACAAGUGCUGGGGUUACAGGUACCUGUGACCUGACUGGCUUUUACACUACUCAAGUGGAUAUGAACUCAACUCCUCAUGCUCACACACCAAGUGCCUUUACAUAUAAGCCAUCUCCCACAGCAAGAGUCGACAGAGAAUAAAUUCAUGGAUUCUUGUUUGCUUGUUUGUCCUCAAACAUGGACUCACUUCCACGGGAUGGUGUUGUCUUCAGUGACUGAGUCAAUUCACAGUCAAGGUUUCCUGCCCACCGGGUUGCAUCCAGCUGAGAAAAACCCUAAAUUAAUGAGAAACUGCAAGCAAAUCAAAGAAACUUGGGCAAUACUGAAGAUGUCAUUUUUAUUAUUUUGAUCAAGAAACAAAUUGGAUGUCUGAGCUGGAUAGCUCUUCACUACGACAACUACCCUUGACAAAAAUUCCAUGACAACAUGAACAAAGCUAUGAAUGUCUUCUGCCUAGAUUAGAAGAACGAUGAGACACUCCCAUAGAAGCAUCUCCCAACAAAUGGCAGAAAGAAGACUCACCAUAAAAUGAGCAAGGACAAGGAAGCACAGAGCUAAAGAAGUAAGCAGAGGCUGACAGUGGAAGAACUAUCACAUUGCUAAGCACUAAGGCAGAGGAGAGGGGCAGCUGGCACCACAGAGAACAGAGACCUUCCAUUGAGAGCUACCACUAGGCCAAGGAAAUCAAGACUGAAGAGGUGCUCUUGGUUGUAAUCAGUAUGAGCUUCUGGAGGACAUAGCAGCUAAAGAAGAGAAGAGACUGUAUACUCAGUAUAAGCAUCAAGUACCAUUUCCCAUCUCUGUACCUGGUAUCCAUUAUCAUCUCUUGUCCUCCUGAGUCACAAGUCCAAAAGAGCAAUAGGCUUGUAUUCCAGCCU